rnacentral:rRNA from 1 species
GGUUAAGUGACUAAGCGUAUACGGUGGAUGCCUUGGCAGUCAGAGGCGAUGAAAGACGUAGUAACUUGCGAUAAGCCCAGAUUAGGUAGUAACAACCAUUUGAGUCUGGGAUUUCUGAAUGGGGAAACCCACGUGCAUAAGCACGUAUCCUUACCUGAAUACAUAGGGUAAGGAGGCGAACCGGGGGAACUGAAACAUCUAAGUACCCCGAGGAAAAGAAAUCAACCGAGAUUCCGAAAGUAGCGGCGAGCGAAAUUGGACUAGCCCUUAAGCUUUACACGCGUUAGACGAACGGUCUGGAAAGUCCGACGAUACAGGGUGAUAGUCCCGUAGUUGACGACGUGUGUUCAGUGAAAUCGAGUAGGGCGGGACACGUGAUAUCCUGUCUGAAUAUGGGGGGACCAUCCUCCAAGGCUAAAUACUACUGACUGACCGAUAGUGAACCAGUACCGUGAGGGAAAGGCGAAAAGAACCCCUGUGAGGGGAGUGAAAUAGAACCUGAAACCGUGUACGUACAAGCAGUAGGAGCAGGCUUUGUCCUGUGACUGCGUACCUUUUGUAUAAUGGGUCAGCGACUUAUAUUCAGUGGCAAGGUUAACCAUCUAGGGGAGCCGUAGGGAAACCGAGUCUUAACUGGGCGUUCAGUCUCUGGAUAUAGACCCGAAACCAGGUGAUCUAGCCAUGGGCAGGUUGAAGGUUGAGUAACAUCAACUGGAGGACCGAACCGACUAAUGUUGAAAAAUUAGCGGAUGACUUGUGGCUAGGGGUGAAAGGCCAAUCAAACCUGGAGAUAGCUGGUUCUCCCCGAAAGCUAUUUAGGUAGCGCCUCGGACGAAUACUACUGGGGGUAGAGCACUGUUAAGGCUAGGGGGUCAUCCCGACUUACCAACCCUUUGCAAACUCCGAAUACCAGUAAGUACUAUCCGGGAGACACACGGCGGGUGCUAACGUCCGUCGUGGAGAGGGAAACAACCCAGACCGCCAGCUAAGGUCCCAAAUUACUACUAAGUGGGAAACGAUGUGGGAAGGCUCAGACAGCCAGGAUGUUGGCUUAGAAGCAGCCAUCAUUUAAAGAAAGCGUAAUAGCUCACUGGUCGAGUCGGCCUGCGCGGAAGAUGUAACGGGGCUAAGUAGUAAACCGAAGCUGCGGCAAUGUGCUUUUGCACAUUGGGUAGGGGAGCGUUCUGUAAGCGGUUGAAGGUGUGUGGUAACGCAUGCUGGACGUAUCAGAAGUGCGAAUGCUGACAUGAGUAACGAUAAAGGGGGUGAAAAACCUCCUCGCCGGAAGACCAAGGGUUCCUGUCCAACGUUAAUCGGGGCAGGGUAAGUCGACCCCUAAGGCGAGGCCGAAAGGCGUAGUCGAUGGGAAACGGGUUAAUAUUCCCGUACUUCUUACAAUUGCGAUGGGGGGACGGAGAAGGCUAGGUGGGCCUGGCGACGGUUGUCCAGGUUCAAGUGCGUAGGCUUAAGAGUUAGGUAAAUCCGGCUCUUUUUAAGGCUGAGACACGACGUCGAGCACCUACGGGUGUGAAGUCAUUGAUGCCAUGCUUCCAGGAAAAGCCUCUAAGCUUCAGAUUGUAAGGAAUCGUACCCCAAACCGACACAGGUGGUCGGGUAGAGAAUACCAAGGCGCUUGAGAGAACUCGGGUGAAGGAACUAGGCAAAAUGGUACCGUAACUUCGGGAGAAGGUACGCUCUUGAUGGUGAAGUCCCUUGCGGAUGGAGCUGACGAGAGUCGCAGAUACCAGGUGGCUGCAACUGUUUAUUAAAAACACAGCACUGUGCAAAAUCGUAAGAUGACGUAUACGGUGUGACGCCUGCCCGGUGCCGGAAGGUUAAUUGAUGGGGUUAGACUUCGGUCGAAGCUCUUGAUCGAAGCCCCGGUAAACGGCGGCCGUAACUAUAACGGUCCUAAGGUAGCGAAAUUCCUUGUCGGGUAAGUUCCGACCUGCACGAAUGGCGUAAUGAUGGCCACGCUGUCUCCACCCGAGACUCAGUGAAAUUGAAAUCGCUGUGAAGAUGCAGUGUACCCGCGGCUAGACGGAAAGACCCCGUGAACCUUUACUACAGCUUGGCACUGAACAUUGACCCUACAUGUGUAGGAUAGGUGGGAGGCUUUGAAGCACGUACGCCAGUAUGUGUGGAGCCGUCCUUGAAAUACCACCCUUGUAGUGUUGAUGUUCUAACGUCGACCCCUAAUCGGGGUUGCGGACAGUGCCUGGUGGGUAGUUUGACUGGGGCGGUCUCCUCCCAAAGAGUAACGGAGGAGCACGAAGGUGGGCUAAUCACGGUUGGACAUCGUGAGGUUAGUGCAAUGGCAUAAGCCCGCUUGACUGCGAGAAUGACAAUUCGAGCAGGUGCGAAAGCAGGUCAUAGUGAUCCGGUGGUUCUGAAUGGAAGGGCCAUCGCUCAACGGAUAAAAGGUACUCCGGGGAUAACAGGCUGAUACCGCCCAAGAGUUCAUAUCGACGGCGGUGUUUGGCACCUCGAUGUCGGCUCAUCACAUCCUGGGGCUGAAGUCGGUCCCAAGGGUAUGGCUGUUCGCCAUUUAAAGUGGUACGCGAGCUGGGUUUAGAACGUCGUGAGACAGUUCGGUCCCUAUCUGCCGUGGGCGUUGGAAGAUUGAAGGGGGCUGCUCCUAGUACGAGAGGACCGGAGUGGACGAACCUCUGGUGUUCGGGUUGUGUCGCCAGACGCAUUGCCCGGUAGCUAAGUUCGGAAUCGAUAACCGCUGAAAGCAUCUAAGCGGGAAGCGAGCCCUGAGAUGAGUCUUCCCUGAUACUUUAAGUAUCCUAAAGGGUUGUCGGAGACUACGACGUUGAUAGGUCAGGUGUGUAAGUGCUGUGAGGCAUUGAGCUAACUGAUACUAAUUGCCCGUGAGGCUUAACCAU